rnacentral:rRNA from 1 species
GGCGCACGGGUGAGUAACACGUGAGUAAUCUGCCCCUAAGUCAGGAAUAACAUUGCGAAAGCGAUGCUAAUACCUGGUAAGCCCACGACUUCUUUGGUAGAUGUGGGAAAAGGUGGCCUCUGACAUAAGCUAUCACUUAGGGAUGAGCUCGCGGACCAUUAGCUUGUUGGUAGGGUAAUGGCCUACCAAGGCGAUGAUGGUUAGCUGGCCUGAGAGGGUGGCCAGCCACACUGGAACUGAGACACGGUCCAGACUCCUACGGGAGGCAGCAGUGGGGAAUCUUGCGCAAUGGGGGAAACCCUGACGCAGCAACGCCGCGUGAGUGACGAAGGCCUUCGGGUCGUAAAGCUCUGUCAGAUGGAAAGAAUUAGUUCGCUGAAAAUAUUGGCGAGUGAUGACGGUACCAUCAGAGGAAGCACCGGCUAACUCCGUGCCAGCAGCCGCGGUAAUACGGAGGGUGCAAGCGUUGUUCGGAAUUAUUGGGCGUAAAGCGCGUGUAGGCGGGAAGACAGGUCAGUUGUGAAAUCCCUUGGCCUAACCAAGGAACUGCAUCUGAAACCAUUUUCCUCGAGUACGAUAGGGGAGGGCGGAAUUCCC